AUGUGACAUACUUAUUUUGUUUACCUGCCUGGCUAGACUUUUUGUUCUUUUUGGAAUCCAGACUGUAUAUUGUACUAGCUAACAAUUUCUUAUAUCCUCGUCACAAGGUGGAGUGUAUAGUACACACAGCAAAUACCCUUGCUAAUACAAGGACAUUAAUUUGGAUCCAAGAACAGUGGAUAAUGCUCUUAAUAACUGGCUGCAGGAGCAUACCACAGGAAGAUUUUUAUUUUUUGCUCACACUUCUUCAUUACAUAUGUCAUUCGCCAAGAAAAGUAAUUAGCUCUUGAAUGCUGUUUCUUUUUUUUUGAAAAUUCUCUUCAUAUACAAAUUAUAUUAUGUUUAUAAAGAACAAUAUGUAAGCUCUUUUGGCACCUGUCUCAAAAAGUCAGCCCAUAAAAAGGUCAAGAUUCAAGUGUGUGGCAAUGCUCUCUCCAUUUUCAAGAGCCUGGAAGGUGUACUUUCUUUUUAUAACUGUGUUUCUACAUCAAGGGUCGCUAAAAUGUGUAGCUGCUUUAUAAUUGCACAGGAGCAUUGCAAGAAAUUGAAUUCUAAUAUUGAUGCUUCCCAUUCUUAAUGUUGCGGUCAUGUUUUCUUUCAAUUAAUUAGAAACAUAACGUUUGUUAUAGGAAAAUGCCUGAAGCAAAACGUGAUUCCAGGUACCAAUCAAAGGGGAAAACAAAGCUCUCGAUGCUCACUGCAUGAACACUCUCUCUUUUAAGGUUAAUGCAACGGAAAGAAACGGCAGGGGUUUUGUUGUUUUACUUACUAGAGGAAGCACUUUUAUUUAGAAGCAAAUGAAAGCAUCUUAUUUAACUGUUUGAAAGGUAACUCUUGCCAAAUGAUGAUAGAAAUAUUUAACAAUAUUAUUUUAGUCAAUUUAGCUAAUUAAGCUUGCGCUGCAUCUUGUGAUUGCUUUGAGUCCUUCAAGAAUUUUGAAACAUCAGAGAAAGAAAAGAAUUUUUAUGGAAGGCAGCUGCAGAGCUGAGUUGAGAUGACACAUGAAAUAAUAACUCCAGUAGAGCAAGUCUCGCAUAUUUCAUGGAGACACAUUACACUGUACGUAGUAAUACUUCAGUACUUUAAGAUGCAAUAAACCACUGUAUUGAACACACGCUGGGUGAAUAUAUUUUGUUUCCUUGUGUUUUUCUUUUUGACUCUCCCCCUCUUAGAAUUGGCUGUUCACAUGUUAGCUCUCAUUUAGCUUUUUCUCAUUAAAAUAUUGAACAAUUUGUUAUUUUUAAGGUCUCACUUCCUCCUAACAUGACAAGCCAUCUAUGAUCUCUGUGAGCCCUGUUUUCGCCACACUCUGUGACUUCCUGUGGUGAGUGCAGCAGGACAAAGACUGAGGUUCUCCAGGAUGUGAACAUGAGUUUAUGUCUAUCUAGAAUCAGUUUCAACGGACAUCCUAGGGUCGCAGGUAUUAACUGCUACCAAAUCCUAAGACAAAAGACAUUCAAGUAAAGGAGACAAGAAAAAAACAGCUUUUCAACACUUGCCUGAACCUUCAAAGUGGAAGAAUCUAAAAAACCCAAAGUAUUCCUAAGGAGGGCUCAGUAAGAUGCCACCAUAACCAUUCUAAAAUGAAACUAAAAAGAGUUAUCUUCCACACUUGGACCAAUGAGGCACCACCAGCUUGAAACAUGGACCCCACAGAGAGCAGACAGAAGACAGGAGAGGAUGGAAAAGAAAAUGAUGUAACAUCAGGGAAACUAAACUGGAAGCUCAUUCAAUGGCUGACAGCACUUGAAAUGAUGUCACUGGUAUGAACUGUGUGAGCCACAGUGCAGUACUGAAUAUACCCUUGGCCAACAGGAGUCAACUGCAACCUGUUACACAAACAUAAUCAAAUGACCAGAUAAAUUAAGUCUUAGGAGAGAGAAUUAUCUUCUGUUUUAUCCUGAGAAAUACACCCUGACUUUUCAGAUGCUCCAAAGUGCCAGGACAGGCGUGCCAAAAGAUUUCACUAAAAACAACAUUCUCUGAAAGAAAAUGGUUAGUAAAGUUUAGUGAGGAGAGAAUUUCCACUUGUUCUGAAAAGGCUUUGUUCUGGUGUUCAGACUAUGAUGGAUGAUUUCCAGACCCUUAAGUGAGCAGAGCCUCAUGAACUUUGAGAUUUGUCUUUUUUCAAGAAGGGAUUCAGCAAAAAGAAACUGAUGGAAAGUGUGCUUUUACCUGUAUACAGAGAAGGGAGUUGGCUAGAUUUUUUUUAGAAACUAAAAGAAAAAAAAAAACCCAACACCAAGAAUCACAAAUCUUGACUCAUUGUUUUAUAUUUGUUUUUCUUGUUUUAAUUCUAACCUACUAUUAUUCAGUAAAUAGCUUUCCAUAAUACAUAUAGAUUCGCAUUGCAGUAUAACCCUCUAUAAUAAGGUGAUGUAUAACAGAGUUAAUUAAUUAAUGCAAUUUCAAUUUACUUUGCUUUCCAGAGACCAAGUCUCUGGAGUGAAAUAUCUACAGUUAAUGAUCAGCAGAGACUAAACUGAGGUCAUUGUAUUACCAACUCCCAAAUUUAAUUUUACAGAUGAGAAAGAGAUUAUUAAAGUGUGUUUCCCUUUCAAAUUUAAUAUCUUAUUUUGUAGAUCUUUAUCAUCUUUUAUCACUUUGCUUCCUUCUUAGCUGGUGUUUUCCCUUAUACGAUUUAUUCAUUUUCCAGGCCUUUAGAAUUAAAAGCUGCAUAGCCAGCAUCAUGA